rnacentral:lncRNA from 10 species
GCUGGCUCAUUUAAAACACAGAGAACUUGUCGGAAGAUAGGUGGUGCAAAGCCCAAGGAACUGCUGAAGAGGCUGCAUCGAAGAUCCAGCAUCCACAGUGUACAUCAUGGAAUCCAGACUGUGCCAAUUGACAGCAAUAGAGAGGCCUCAGGAGAAGCUAAGGAUUUGCUAACUGUGAAGAAAAAGAUUCUGUGUUUCACCACACUGCAAGCCUUGAAACCACAGAAGCAGUGAGCAAGCUAACAUUUAUUCUAAAGAUAAACAUGAAAUCCAGGUAAAGAAACAAAGCACAAUUUAUUAUCCUAUUGAUCACUAAGAGACUAAUGUCUUUUCCUUUCCUAAAGACAUUUAUCCAAUAAGCUUUGUACACACCACAGCAACAAUCUGUAACCCAUUACAGAAGUGUCACUAACACAGCGUUAAUUACCACAGUAUGUGACUUGGAAAUGGUAUCUUGAGUAAAGUGGAAUAUUUGGUCCACAACCCAGCAUAAAACCACAUCAGAGUCUUUUGUCUCCAGCUUGAGGCCAUUCUCCACCUCUGGGUCAGGAAAUAGGAUUUUCUAAGGAGUGAAGAAGUAGCUUCCUGAUGUUUCUUCCUCUCCAUUCUCAGUUUAUACCUCCAGGUCAACACUCUCAUCUGAUCUCAGAAGAAUGCAUCAUUUUUUG